rnacentral:rRNA from 1 species
AGAGUUUGAUCCUGGCUCAGAGCGAACGCUGGCGGCAGGCCUAACACAUGCAAGUCGAACGCCCCGCAAGGGGAGUGGCAGACGGGUGAGUAACGCGUGGGAACGUACCUUUUGGUUCGGAAUAACUCAGGGAAACUUGAGCUAAUACCGGAUAAGCCCUACGGGGGAAAGAUUUAUCGCCAAAAGAUCGGCCCGCGUUGGAUUAGCUAGUUGGGGAGGUAAUGGCUCACCAAGGCUACGAUCCAUAGCUGGUCUGAGAGGAUGAUCAGCCACAUUGGGACUGAGACACGGCCCAAACUCCUACGGGAGGCAGCAGUGGGGAAUCUUGGACAAUGGGCGCAAGCCUGAUCCAGCCAUGCCGCGUGGAUGAUGAAGGCCUUAGGGUUGUAAAAUCCUUUCACCGGGGACGAUAAUGACGGUACCCGGAGAAGAAGCCCCGGCUAACUUCGUGCCAGCAGCCGCGGUAAUACGAAGGGGGCUAGCGUUGCUCGGAAUUACUGGGCGUAAAGCGCGCGUAGGCGGAUUGAUUAGUCAGAGGUGAAAUCCCAGGGCUCAACCCUGGAACUGCCUUUGAUACUGUCAGUCUGGAGCAAGGUAGAGGCGAGUGGAAUUCCGAGUGUAGAGGUGAAAUUCGUAGAUAUUCGGAGGAACACCAGUGGCGAAGGCGACUCGCUGGACCUUUGCUGACGCUGAGGCGCGAAAGCGUGGGGAGCAAACAGGAUUAGAUACCCUGGUAGUCCACGCCGUAAACUAUGAGGGCUAGUUGUUUGUAAGUAUACUUAUAAGUGACGCAGCUAACGCAUUAAGCCCUCCGCCUGGGGAGUACGGUCGCAAGAUUAAAACUCAAAGGAAUUGACGGGGGCCC